rnacentral:rRNA from 1 species
UACGUAGGGGGCUAGCGUUGUCCGGAAUCAUUGGGCGUAAAGCGCGCGUAGGCGGCCCGGUAAGUCCGCUGUAAAAGUCCAGGGCUCAACCCUGGAAAGCCGGUGGAAACUGUCGGGCUAGAGUGCGGAAGAGGCGAGUGGAAUUCCUGGUGUAGCGGUGAAAUGCGCAGAUAUUGGGAAGAACACCGGUGGCGAAAGCGCCUUGCUGGGUCUGCACUGACACUGAGGGACGAAAGCUAGGGGAGCGAAAGGG